CGGCGAACGGGUGAGUAACACGUAGGUGAUCUGCCCAUCAGACGGGGACAACGAUUGGAAACGAUCGCUAAUACCGGAUAGGACGAAAGUUUAAAGAUGCUCCUGGCAUCACUGAUGGAUGAGCCUGCGGCGCAUUAGCUAGUUGGUGGGGUAAAGGCCUACCAAGGCGACGAUGCGUAGCCGACCUGAGAGGGUGAACGGCCACACUGGGACUGAGACACGGCCCAGACUCCUACGGAAGGCAGCAG
rnacentral:rRNA from 1 species